rnacentral:rRNA from 1 species
GUGCCAGCCGCCGCGGUAAGACGGAGGGGGCAAGCGUUGUUCGGAAUCAUUGGGCGUAAAGGGCUCGUAGGCGGACUAGCAAGUCUGACGUGAAAUCUCCACCGCUCACCGGGGAGAGGUCGUUGGAUACUACUAGUCUUGAGUUCGGUAGAGGGUCGUGGAAUUUCGGGUGUAGCGGUGGAAUGCGUAGAUAUCCGAAAGAACACCGGUGGCGAAGGCGGCGACCUGGGCCUGAACUGACGCUGAGGAGCGAAAGCUAGGGUAGCAAACGGGAUUAGAAACCCGAGUAGUCC